CUCACGGAAUCCUAAAAUAAAAGGGAUAUCAGAGAUCUUCUGGUCAUGGGGUUAUGGAAUGUUAGAAGUAUAAGACAUCUUACUGGAGAUCUGGUCAAUCUCUUUAUUUACAGAGGAGGAAACUGAGUCCUGAUGAGGAUCGGAGAAGACCAGCAUGCCCCAGACCCACUCAGGAAUGGCUGUGAUUACCCCACACCUGCAAGCUCUUCCAACUCCACCCACACAUCCACUUUACAGCCUUCGCAAGAAAAAAAACCUCACGAUGAAAAUUCCACACGUUACUAGGAUUACUUCAUAAACAGAACAUUCUCGACUUUGGAAUUCCCCACAGACUCUGAACUAAGCUUACCCAUACAGAAAAACCUGAAUUCAUUUUGAAAUGGGAGGAAAGCAGGGCAAAAUGUUAUCUUUGAGCUGUGACAUUUGGCUUCCAGUGGACACACAAAGUGGAGACACAUCAAAUGUCAAAUACGCUGAUAAUGGACAGGAAGUACCGCUGUCGAAAUGGCAAGCUCGACCUUCGCUGGCAGCAAAACCUUGGAUGAAACACAACUGCUCCAACCUCAAGUCACCCAGGGCGUGAGCAAAGCUGGGCCUGGAGGUGAGGAUGCGGGAUCAUGAUGCUUGAGGAUCUCAGGACAUCUCACAGACAACCAGACUGAAGUCUGGCCAACGGGGAGGGCCCAGAGUAUUUAUCCAUUGUUGUGAGAUGAGCAAGGCAGAAAAAUAGUUCCUGCUUCCAAGUCUUCCCUGGCUGCAUUAUCAGGAAAACAGGACAAUAUAAUACAGAAAUAAAAUACAGAAACUUCCUCUUUGCCAUCAUUUUGAAUCUGUCCUGGCAUAGAUUUGCACUGACAUCAGCUCCCAGUGGAUCCAAUAUGAAAUUUAUCUUCAUAGAAAUGUGACCUCUGGCUGCCAGUGGACUAAAAAAUAUAGCCAACAAUGGGGCAAAUAAAGAUAAAGAAGUUUGUGCAGGACAAAUGCUCCAUUUCCUAUUCACAGCUUUAUAAUUCCUCUGUCCCAGGAAUGAAUAGAAAAUAAAUGGAUGCAGGCAGCCAUGGAGAAUCUCUACUGUGUUAUCUCAUGCUCCUCACAAUGAUAAAGCAGAUAAUCUUCUUGCACAGAUUGGGAGAGGAGAUGACUAGCUGCUAUUGCUAUGAGUAAAUUACAUGUGAUAUACACAAGGUGGGCAGGCAGAAAUCCUCAUAAAAUGUUCUAUUCAACUCACUAGGUUUGUGCACUGAAGACAUUAUUCUGUUUUCACAGUCAGGGU